rnacentral:rRNA from 1 species
CACCUUCGGGAGACAGGGAGACAGGGUGCUGCAUGGCUGUCGUCAGCUCGUGUCGUGAGAUUGUUUGGGUUUAAGUCCCGCAACGAGCGCAACCCUUUUCCUUAUUUGCCAGCGGGUUUAAGCCGGGAACUUUUAAGGAUACUGCCAGUGACAAACUGGAGGAAGGCGGGGACGACGUCAAGUCAUCAUGGCCCUUACGACCAGGGCUACACACGUGCUACAAUGGUCGGUACAAAGGGUUGCUACCUAGCGAUAGGAUGCUAAUCUCAAAAAGCCGAUCGUAGUCCGGAUUGGAGUCUGCAACUCGACUCCAUGAAGUCGGAAUCGCUAGUAAUCGCGGAUCAGCAGGUCGCGGUGAAUACGUUCCCGGGUCUU